rnacentral:rRNA from 1 species
CGCCGCGUGAGGGAUGACGGCCUUCGGGUUGUAAACCUCUUUUAGUAGGGAAGAAGCGUAAGUGACGGUACCUGCAGAAAAAGCACCGGCUAACUACGUGCCAGCAGCCGCGGUAAUACGUAGGGUGCAAGCGUUGUCCGGAAUUAUUGGGCGUAAAGAGCUCGUAGGCGGUUUGUCGCGUCUGCUGUGAAAUCCCGAGGCUCAACCUCGGGCUUGCAGUGGGUACGGGCAGACUAGAGUGCGGUAGGGGAGAUUGGAAUUCCUGGUGUAGCGGUGGAAUGCGCAGAUAUCAGGAGGAACACCGAUGGCGAAGGCAGAUCUCUGGGCCGUAACUGACGCUGAGGAGCGAAAGCGUGGGGAGCGAACAGGAUUAGAUACCCUGGUAGUCCACGCCGUAAACGUUGGGCGCUAGAUGUAGGGACCUUUCCACGGUUUCUGUGUCGUAGCUAACGCAUUAAGCGCCCCGCCUGGGGAGUACGGCCGCAAGGCUAAAACUCAAAGGAAUUGACGGGGGCCCGCACAAGCGGCGGAGCAUGCGGAUUAAUUCGAUGCAACGCGAAGAACCUUACCAAGGCUUGACAUACACCGGAAACGGCCAGAGAUGGUUGCCCCCUUGUGGUCGGUGUACAGGUGGUGCAUGGUUGUCGUCAGCUCGUGUCGUGAGAUGUUGGGUUAAGUCCCGCAACGAGCGCAACCCUCGUUCUAUGUUGCCAGCGCGUUAUGGCGG